UAGAAAUGUGGGGGUGAUCUAUCAGUGUGCCAAGUUUCAUCCCGAAACUCCGCGGACACUUGGGGGCCCUCCCUUUGUGAGCGUGAAGCUCGCCGGGGGCGUCGCCAGUUUUGGUGAUCGCCCGGCGUUGAGGACCGUCGGCUGGCCCCCUUGGGGAUCGGCCACGGGGGCGACGCUCUCUGAGCGGG
rnacentral:snoRNA from 1 species